rnacentral:lncRNA from 1 species
UGCUGUCAUUGGGAAUUGUCAUUAAGUACCUACAGAACAACCAUUAUUUCUAGUUUAUCCUGCACAACGACGAUCACUAAGACGCUUGAUGAACAUAAAUAAUGCAGGGAUACAGGCGAUCCCCUCUAUCUGGUAAAUGACGUCAUAAAGGCGCGCAUAAUUGACGAGUUUUUGCCGGUGACGGAUGAACUCGAAAGUGGUCUAUUGA